GGGGGUGACUGGCUUCGACUUCGGUGGUCGAGGCAGGAGAAGCGAGCCGUGGUCUCCGGAACCACGUAAAAGAGCCGGAACAACAAACAAACGUCGACGACAACGUCGAACUCCUCGCUGCUUAACCAGUGAGGACGUCAGCCCGGCCCCAGCCCUGCGGGCCGGAUGCUGGCGCCAUCAAGUGGGGCUCACCCGGCGGCCUGGUCAGCGGGACCGCCGGGGACACCUGAGCUGACUAGGGCUCCUCGCCCAUGCCGGGGCGAGCGAGGGGCCCGAGAUCACCGCCCCGGCUGCGCUCGGAGAAGGCCUGCUGAGAAGCUGAAGGACGCGGGUUCGAUUCCCGCCACCUCCACUG
rnacentral:tmRNA from 1 species